AGGAAUGGCUUCUUGACUGGCGUUUUCCCACUGAGACCAUUUCUGAUGAGACUUUGUUGAACAGCAGAUGGAUCAAUUGAAGGGCCAGAUACAUCUCUCGGGUCCCGUGUCAGUUAAUAUAGAAGAACUACAGGGCACACUGACAGCGUCAUAAGAGAUGAGUGGAUCAGCAGUCUGCACAAGCACUCAGGUGGGAGGAUGCAAACUAUCCGUGCAGGAAGAUUAGAUACUUUGCCCAUCACACCAUUGAAGGUGGUCUCCCUUUGGUAAGGAGGGACUGUGAGUGUCCCCCUCAGGAUCAGUGAGUUAGAACAGUGCUCUCUUCAAACAGGAUAUUGGCCUUCGCUUGAGUCAGUCGCCUGGCACUUUGGAUCCUUGAAAAGAGCCCCUUACUCUUCAGACUACACAGUGUUUUAGAAAAACAGCCUGUAGACUUGCAGAGAGGACUCUAAACUCCAACAUGAGCCCCAUCAAAAUGACAUCCACUGCCAGCCCUGAGGGGAAAAUAUUGAUGCUGGCAAAGUCUUGACGUCCACUCGCACCAUGACGUAGCGGUUUUUCCAUGACACAUUUGAUGAUUGCUUCAAAAUGGUUCUGUCAGCUUUAAUAUACCCUAGAAGAAACCAGCAUUUCACUUUCCUCUAAAGUAAACAAAAUCCACUAGCUCUCUCCCACACACACACACACACACUCACACACACAUACAGAUGUGCGAUCACACUCCAGGAAUGAGUUUUGAGAUAGAACAGGCAUUUGUGAGCUGAUAUAUGUUUUCAUGGUCAAUCUUUUCACUCUUGAGUGAAGCAGUUUGAAUCGAUGUUGUUUUUGUAAGUUUGCAGACUGAGAGCCACGGUGUUAUUUCAGGAAACAUGGAUGUAAUGUC